CCUUCUCCUCCCACAUCUUUUCUCAUCUUCCAAAAAUGAAACCUAAGCUAACUCUUCACCCUUCUUUCAUCUUCGUUCUGUUGCUCAUCUCAACCAUUGCUCCGACCUAUCUCUGUGACGAUGAUGCUCAGUACACCAACUGUAGUAACGCUUUUACAUGCGGAGAUACCAAGCUGGAUCUCAGGUACCCCUUCUCGGGAAAAAACAGAGGUAGUUAUUGCGGCGAAGAGAAGCUCACGUGUGAAGAAGGAGUCCCAAAGAUAACCAUCAACGAUGCCAAGUACCGUAUUCUUGAUUGGCGUAAUACAACACAGACAAUAACAAUGGCCAGGGAUGAUUAUUGGGAUAAUAUAUGUGUGAGUGAGUACAAGAACAGCACCUUUGAUAACACUCACUUUCAAUAUGAUCACCAAUAUAAUUAUCUUGGUAACGUCACGCUCUUUUAUUGCCCUUCCGAUUCACAUCCUUCUGUACUCACGGAAUUUGAUAGACAAAAUUGUGGUGCUGAUAAAUUUGUCUUCUACACUCCCCUACCUGUACCUCCGUACUCGGGGAAUUGUGCGGUUGUGGUGAUUCCGAUAUUUGAAUCCAACGCUUCACUUGUGUCUGAAAGCAAUAUAAGCGAUGCGUUACGGAAUGGUUUUGAGUUGAAUUGGGAGGGAGAUAACGGGAAGUGUGAGAAAUGCAGUAAUUCUGGUGGAGAGUGUGGAGUUGAUGAAGGAGAUGGAGGAUUUCAAUGUUUCUGCGUGGAUGGACCCCGUUCUGCUACAUGCAAAGGAAAAAGAAAAGUAUCAUUGCGAAUAUGGAUAUUGAUUAUUGUACCUACAACUGUUUUUAUAACA
rnacentral:sRNA from 1 species